rnacentral:rRNA from 1 species
CAGUAGCCGCGGUAAUACGAAGGGUGCAAGCGUUAAUCGGAAUUACUGGGCGUAAAGCGCACGUAGGCGGCUUGGUAAGUUAGAGGUGAAAGCCUGGAGCUCAACUCCAGAAUUGCCUUUAAGACUGCCGAGCUAGCAGGUGAGAGAGGUAAGUGGAAUUCCGAGUGUAGAGGUGAAAUUCGUAGAUAUUCGGAAGAACACCAGUGGCGAAGGCGGCUUACUGGCUCAUACUGGACGCUGAGGUGCGAAAGCGUGGGGAGCAAACAGGAUUAGAUACCCCCGUAGUCCCUGUCUCUUAUAC